CACGUAGGGGGACGAGCGUUUGUCCGGAUUCAUUGGGCGUAAAGCGCACGUAGGCGGCUUUGCAAGUCGGAUGUGAAAUCCCUCGGCUUAACCAAGGAAGUGCAUCCGAAACUGCAGAGCUUGAGUACUUAAGAGGAUCGCGGAAUUCCCGGUGUAGAGGUGAAAUUCGUAGAUAUCGGGAGGAACACCAGUGGCGAAGGCGGCGAUCUGGGAAGAUACUGACGCUGAGGUGCGAAAGCGUGGGGAGCAAACAGG
rnacentral:rRNA from 1 species